rnacentral:rRNA from 1 species
UACGGGGGGAGCAAGCGUUGUUCGGAUUUACUGGGCGUAAAGGGCGCGUAGGCGGUCAGCACAAGUCAGUUGUGAAAUCUCCGGGCUUAACCCGGAAAGGUCAACUGAUACUGUGCGACUAGAGUGCGGAAGGGGCAACUGGAAUUCUCGGUGUAGCGGUGAAAUGCGUAGAUAUCGGAGAGGAACACCUGCGGCGAAGGCGGGUUGCUGGGCCGGUACUGGACGCUGAGGAGCGAAAGCGUGGGGAGCAAACAGG